ACUGUCUUCCCAACAACAUGGGAAAUUCUAAUGCAAGUAUUCUUUCUGUUUGAUAGUAGAAAUGAUGAUGAGAGUUGUUUUCUUGAAAGAAAAUUCAGUGGCAGCUUGAAGAACCAAAAAGAAAUAACCCUUUCCACAAGUGGGGUCUUCAUUGUGUGCUGCUUGUGGAGAUGUUCAAUGAUGCAUUUCUCAAGGUUCUCACCACUGAAAGAGGUAGAGUGACUUAGACUACAACUUGGAACUGUUUGGCGUUUGGUGAUUACGCUUAAAAUAAAAGCUGUACAAAGAACGGCUUCAGUAAAACUAUAAAAGAUGCCAUAAACCAGAAAAAAAAAAUCACUAUGAAGCAUCUUCGGUUUGUGAAUUU